AGGAGAGAACGCUGGGUUGAAGUGGCUUAUUGGAGUCCUAGGUGGAAACUGUGGCAGAGCCCGGAGCCCUUCUUCCUUGUUCGGGCAAGGCUGUCCCAGUGCUCGGGCUGCUUUUGUGGAGGGCUGGUCCGCUCUGCCUGGCAGGAAGAGGGAAGGAACACACAAGGUGAUCACAGAUUGUGACCAACGCUGUGAAGAAAAGAAACAGCUUGAUGCUGUAACAACUGGGGAAGGACUCUCUGGGGAGAAGAUGAGAGUGGACCAGCCCAAGGAAAAGUGUUCCAGGCAGAAGGAACAGCAGGUGCAAAGGCCCAGAGGAGGAACGUUGAUGAGGAACAAAAACACAGCUAGACGUCAGUGAAGGUUGGAGAGUUAGAGUAAGUUGGAUCCUGCCAGGCCUAUUUGGCCACAGCAGAUUUAAGAAAGAGGAAGCUCUUGAAGGAUUUUAAACACGGGGAGAGGUAAUUUGCCAUUGCGUUGUCUGAAGUUCCUUGCAGGACAAAGACCCUUCCUUGGCGGGGUGGGUACUUAAACCCAGUCAAGACCAACCCAUCCUCCAAAUUAGUCUUGUGCUCUACCAGGCUUUUAGAAUAGGUCCAAUCUUCAUCAGAAAGCAUAGGGUUUGCUUUGUGCCAACCUGGCCCUCCAGUUCUGUAGGGAGCAGGUGUUGAACCACGGGCAGCAGACAUCACUGUAGCCUUGGAUGUAGUUUAUUACAGUGCGGGAGCACUGUCCUGUGAUGUGGUGGGGGACUCAGCAUUACUGAACUUAGCAAGGCCGCUGGCCAGGGGCAGAACCUAUCAUUUGAAAUACGUAUAAUUAUUUUGCUUAUUUAUGCCUUCUGUCUUUAGACUGUGAGUGCUGAGAAGCCAAAGACCACCUGGACUUUUAUCCCUGUGUUUCCAGUGCUUGCCUGCAGCAGGUACUCCACAGACACUUGUGAAAGCGUGGAGGAUUGGAGGAAAAGGGCAGCGGUAAUUUAGCUCUGCUUUUGUAGGAAACAGAAAGGGGAAGAGGACUUGUAAGCAGUAAAAUAUAAACAUCAAAACAACCUACAUUUGCUUCUGCAGAAAUGCUUGUUUUGAAGGUAGGAAUUUGUUCUAACGCAGUUUAAAGGAGCGUACCUACAUUCCCCAGUGAAAAACACAAAGCAAAAUUCCGAACCAGGGGUUCCCGUUGUGGUGCAGUGGUUAACGAAUCCCACUAGGAACCAUGAGGUUGUGGGUUCAACUCCUGGCCUUGCUCAGUGGGUUGGGGAUCCGGCGUUGCCGUGAGCUGUGGUGUGGGUCUCAGACGCGGCUGGGAUCCCGCAUUGCUGUGGCUGUGGUGUGGGUGGCAGACACGGCUGGGAUCCUGCAUUGCUGUGGCUCUGGCGUAGGCCAGUGGCUAUAGCUCUGAUUAGACCCCUAGCCUUGGAACCUCCAUAUGCGGUGGGAGCUGCUCAAGAAAAGGCAAACAGACCAAAAAAAAAAAAAAAAAAAUGUUCCACAACGGCGACUGAAUGCAAUUGCAUAAGCAGACACAAAAUGCACACACUAUAGCAUGCACAUCAAACACCCACCAGCCACCUUAGGGCACUGCCUGUGGGAGGAGCCACAAGCAUCCACAUCUGGUUUCCAAAUCCCUGUCCAGUUUCAGCAAUGCUCUGUCACAAGAACUCAAGGCUCUAAUGCCCACCUCCAUAAGCAAACUCCAGGUCUUUUUCAAGGGAAAGCCCU
rnacentral:lncRNA from 9 species